CCUACGGGGUGCAGCAGUGAGGAAUAUUGGUCAAUGGUCGGGAGACUGAACCAGCCAAGCCGCGUGAGGGAUGAAGGUACAGAGUAUCAUAAACCUCUUUUGUCAGGGAACAAAGGCGGGGACGUGUCCCCGGAUGAGUGUACCUGAAGAAAAAGCAUCGGCUAACUCCGUGCCAGCAGCCGCGGUAAUACGGAGGAUGCGAGCGUUAUCCGGAUUUAUUGGGUUUAAAGGGUGCGCAGGCGGUCUGUUAAGUCAGCGGUCAAAGCCCGGGGCUCAACCCCGGCCCGCCGUUGAAACUGGCAGUCUCGAGUUGGAGAGAAGUAUGCGGAAUGCGCGGUGUAGCGGUGAAAUGCAUAGAUAUCGCGCAGAACUCCGAUUGCGAAGGCAGCAUACCGGCUCCACACUGACGCUGAGGCACGAAAGCGUGGGUAUCGAACAGGAUUAGAUACCCGGGUAGUC
rnacentral:rRNA from 1 species